AGAACGCAGCAAAAUGCGAUACUUGGUGUGAAUUGCAGAAUCCCGUGAACCAUCGAGUUUUUGAACGCAAGUUGCGCCCGAAGCCAUUUGGUUGAGGCACGUCUGCCUGGGCGUCACGC
rnacentral:rRNA from 1 species